AAGUCAAAACAUAGGGUGACACAGAACUAGUUCCAGUUCAUCAAUGUAAUGUAGGCAUGUAUUCCGAAUAUAGUCAUACGUGCUUAUGGAAAA